AUUGAACGCUGGCGGCAGGCCUAACACAUGCAAGUCGAACGAGUGGCGGACGGGUGAGUAAUGUCUGGGAAACUGCCCGAUGGAGGGGGAUAACUACUGGAAACGGUAGCUAAUACCGCAUACCAUCGGAUGUGCCCAGAUGGGAUUAGCUGGUAGGUGAGGUAACGGCUCACCUAGGCGACGAUCCCUAGCUGGUCUGAGAGGAUGACCAGCGACACGGGAACGGAGCCACGGGCCAUGCUCCUACGGGAGGCAGCAGGGGGGAAUAGUGCACAAUGGUCGCAAGCGUGAUGCAGCCAGGGCGGGUGUAUGAAGAAGGCUUGCGGGUUGUAAAGUACUUGCAGCGGGGAGGCGUUACCCGCAGAAGAAGCACCUUCUACCUCCGUGCCAGCAGCCGCGGUAAUAC
rnacentral:rRNA from 1 species